AAAGCUUCCGAUAUAGACGAAGUGUUUACUCGACAAAAUUUAAGACUUAGAUUUAUUUUGUGUUUUUAGUUGAGUUAGGUUAGUUGGAGAUUGCUUGGUGUGGAAGCAAUCUCAACCUAUAAAUACGAAGGUACCCUAUCAUUGAAAUGAUAUAAAUUUUCAUAGAGAAAAGAUUGAAUAAAAACUUAAGUUUGAAGGCAGAGAGAAACUCUG
rnacentral:lncRNA from 1 species